rnacentral:rRNA from 1 species
CCGGCGUGCUAAUACAUGCAAGUCGAGCGAAUCAUGGGAGCUUGCCCUAGAUUAGCGGCGGACGGGUGAGUACACGUGGGUAACCUGCCUGUAAGACUGGGAUAACUUCGGGAAACCGGAGCUAAUACCGGAUACUUUCUUUUCUCGCAUGAGAGAAGAUGGAAAGAUGGUUUUGCUAUCACUUACAGAUGGACCCGCGGCGCAUUAGCUAGUUGGUGAGGUAACGGCUCACCAAGGCGACGAUGCGUAGCCGACCUGAGAGGGUGAUCGGCCACACUGGGACUGAGACACGGCCCAGACUCCUACGGGAGGCAGCAGUAGGGAAUCUUCCGCAAUGGACGAAAGUCUGACGGAGCAACGCCGCGUGAGCGAAGAAGGC